AACACAUGCAAGUCGAACGGAAAGGCCAGUGCUUGCACUGGUACUCGAGUGGCGAACGGGUGAGUAACACGUGGGUGAUCUGCCUUGCACUCUGGGAUAAGCUUGGGAAACUGGGUCUAAUACCGGAUAGGAACCGUCCUUAGUGUGGUGGUUGGAAAGUUUUUUCGGUGCAAGAUGAGCUCGCGGCCUAUCAGCUUGUUGGUGGGGUAAUGGCCUACCAAGGCGUCGACGGGUAGCCGGCCUGAGAGGGUGUACGGCCACAUUGGGACUGAGAUACGGCCCAGACUCCUACGGGAGGCAGCAGUGGGGAAUAUUGCACAAUGGGCGGAAGCCUGAUGCAGCGACGCCGCGUGGGGGAUGACGGCCUUCGGGUUGUAAACUCCUUUCGACAGGGACGAAGCGUUAUGUGACGGUACCUGUAUAAGAAGCACCGGCUAACUACGUGCCAGCCGCCGCGGUAA
rnacentral:rRNA from 1 species